UACGGGGGGGGGCAAGCGUUGUUCGGAAUUACUGGGCGUAAAGGGCUCGUAGGUGGCCAACUAAGUCGGACGUGAAAUCCCUCGGCUUAACCGGGGAACUGCGUCCGAUACUGGUUGGCUUGAGUUUGGGAGAGGGAUGCGGAAUUCCAGGUGUAGCGGUGAAAUGCGCAGAUAUCAGGAGGAACACCGGUGGCGAAGGCGGAUCUCUGGGCCUGUCCUGACGCUCAGGCGCGAAAGCUAGGGGAGCAAACAGG
rnacentral:rRNA from 1 species